UACAGUAAUGUUUUGAGGGAUUCAAAUGGCUUCUUCAUAGCAGUACAAUUCCCAUAGAACUCGGAACCCACAGUCACAACUUUAUGGAAUGAUGCAAUUAAGAGAUGCUCUAAAGAAGCUAAUUGCCCGAGCGGUGGUAAGGAGGUGCAGUUG